CAUGCCUCAUCUUCUCCACCCCACUCACCCUUCUUCACCAUUCAAACCCUAGCCCCCGCCCCUUUCAUUAUGCACCUUCGGCCAUCGAGAAUCCCACGACUGACGCAACCCUACAUGACGACGAUCGCCCGGAUGAAGCUAUUGUGUUGCGUUCCUUCUUUGCCUCGCAUCUCCAUCCAUCAGUCAUAGCCGCACGUUCUACCAUCGGGAAGCCAAAGCCGAAACGCCCUGAGUCACGCAUCUCAACCGUCUUCGUGCCCUCUAGUUUCGCCAGUCGUCCGUGUCGCGUGCUCCACCCUUGCCGAAGCCGAUCGUGUGCAUCUUAGCCAGAAUCGAACCCAAGUCGCGUCUCCUCGAGUGAUCUGCGCGUGGUCGUCCAAGCCAUGAGCCCCCUCUAUGUGUGAGUCGCGCAUCUCUGUCCCUUCAAGCCAGAUCUGAGCCGCCUUCAUUCUCCACAAGUCACGUGCCUGAGCCAACUACCCUGUCGAGCCGUUCCUUGUUUUGGAGUCACUUUUGGUGCAAGAGAAAUCGGUAGAAUUGGGACUGUGAAUUUUUCAUUUAAGGUGGAUUCAACCUUAGUCUUGGGGAAAGUCUUCGACGAGUGGUGUCCCAAUUUAGAGAUUGAUUUGUAGAUUUAGAGAUAUCAUCGAAAGUAAGUUCUCUUAUCUUUUCUUUAAAAGCAUGCUUAUAAUUUAUUUAGAAUUUUGAUUCUAAAAUUUUGCCAUUGUAUCAGUAUCUUAAGAUUUCCAAAUGAAAUUGAGUAAUGGGUUCUUUAA